UGGGGAAUAUUGGACAAUGGGCGAAAGCCUGAUCCAGCCAUGCCGCGUGUGUGAAGAAGGUCUUCGGAUUGUAAAGCACUUUAAGUUGGGAGGAAGGGCAGUUACCUAAUACGUGAUUGUUUUGACGUUACCGACAGAAUAAGCACCGGCUAACUCUGUGCCAGCAGCCGCGGUAAUACAGAGGGUGCAAGCGUUAAUCGGAAUUACUGGGCGUAAAGCGCGCGUAGGUGGUUUGUUAAGUUGGAUGUGAAAGCCCCGGGCUCAACCUGGGAACUGCAUCCAAAACUGGCAAGCUAGAGUAUGGUAGAGGGUGGUGGAAUUUCCUGUGUAGCGGUGAAAUGCGUAGAUAUAGGAAGGAACACCAGUGGCGAAGGCGACCACCUGGACUGAUACUGACACUGAGGUGCGAAAGCGUGGGGAGCAAACAGGAUUAGAUACCCCCGUAGUCC
rnacentral:rRNA from 1 species